rnacentral:rRNA from 1 species
AGAGUUUGAUCAUGGCUCAGAUUGAACGCUGGCGGCAGGCCUAACACAUGCAAGUCGAGCGGUAGCACAGAGAGCUUGCUCUCGGGUGACGAGCGGCGGACGGGUGAGUAAUGUCUGGGAAACUGCCUGAUGGAGGGGGAUAACUACUGGAAACGGUAGCUAAUACCGCAUAACGUCGCAAGACCAAAGUGGGGGACCUUCGGGCCUCAUGCCAUCAGAUGUGCCCAGAUGGGAUUAGCUAGUAGGUGGGGUAACGGCUCACCUAGGCGACGAUCCCUAGCUGGUCUGAGAGGAUGACCAGCCACACUGGAACUGAGACACGGUCCAGACUCCUACGGGAGGCAGCAGUGGGGAAUAUUGCACAAUGGGCGCAAGCCUGAUGCAGCCAUGCCGCGUGUGUGAAGAAGGCCUUCGGGUUGUAAAGCACUUUCAGCGGGGAGGAAGGCGUUAAGGUUAAUAACCUCAUCGAUUGACGUUACCCGCAGAAGAAGCACCGGCUAACUCCGUGCCAGCAGCCGCGGUAAUACGGAGGGUGCAAGCGUUAAUCGGAAUUACUGGGCGUAAAGCGCACGCAGGCGGUCUGUCAAGUCGGAUGUGAAAUCCCCGGGCUCAACCUGGGAACUGCAUUCGAAACUGGCAGGCUAGAGUCUUGUAGAGGGGGGUAGAAUUCCAGGUGUAGCGGUGAAAUGCGUAGAGAUCUGGAGGAAUACCGGUGGCGAAGGCGGCCCCCUGGACAAAGACUGACGCUCAGGUGCGAAAGCGUGGGGAGCAAACAGGAUUAGAUACCCUGGUAGUCCACGCCGUAAACGAUGUCGAUUUGGAGGUUGUGCCCUUGAGGCGUGGCUUCCGGAGCUAACGCGUUAAAUCGACCGCCUGGGGAGUACGGCCGCAAGGUUAAAACUCAAAUGAAUUGACGGGGGCCCGCACAAGCGGUGGAGCAUGUGGUUUAAUUCGAUGCAACGCGAAGAACCUUACCUGGUCUUGACAUCCACAGAACUUUCCAGAGAUGGAUUGGUGCCUUCGGGAACUGUGAGACAGGUGCUGCAUGGCUGUCGUCAGCUCGUGUUGUGAAAUGUUGGGUUAAGUCCCGCAACGAGCGCAACCCUUAUCCUUUGUUGCCAGCGGUCCGGCCGGGAACUCAAAGGAGACUGCCAGUGAUAAACUGGAGGAAGGUGGGGAUGACGUCAAGUCAUCAUGGCCCUUACGACCAGGGCUACACACGUGCUACAAUGGCAUAUACAAAGAGAAGCGACCUCGCGAGAGCAAGCGGACCUCAUAAAGUAUGUCGUAGUCCGGAUUGGAGUCUGCAACUCGACUCCAUGAAGUCGGAAUCGCUAGUAAUCGUAGAUCAGAAUGCUACGGUGAAUACGUUCCCGGGCCUUGUACACACCGCCCGUCACACCAUGGGAGUGGGUUGCAAAAGAAGUAGGUAGCUUAACCUUCGGGAGGGCGCUUACCACUUUGUGAUUCAUGACUGGGGUGAAGUCGUAACAAGGUAACCGUAGGGGAACCUGCGGUUGGAUCACCU